rnacentral:rRNA from 1 species
CACGGUAAACGAUGGAUGCCCGCUGUAUGCGAUAUAUUGUAUGUGGCCAAGCGAAAGCGUUAAGCAUCCCACCUGGGGAGUACGCCGGCAACGGUGAAACUCAAAGGAAUUGACGGGGGCCCGCACAAGCGGAGGAACAUGUGGUUUAAUUCGAUGAUACGCGAGGAACCUUACCCGGGCUUGAACUGCAGCGGAAGGCGGCAGAGAUGCCAACGCCCUUCGGGGCCGCUGUGGAGGUGCUGCAUGGUUGUCGUCAGCUCGUGCCGUGAGGUGUCGGCUUAAGUGCCAUAACGAGCGCAACCCCUCUCCGUAGUUGCCAUCGGGUGAUGCCGGGCACUCUGCGGACACUGCCACCGCAAGGUGCGAGGAAGGUGGGGAUGACGUCAAAUCAGCACGGCCCUUACGUCCGGGGCUACACACGUGUUACAAUGGGGGGCACAGCGAGCUGGGCGUACGCAAGUGCGUCCGAAUCAAGAAAUCCCCCCUCAGUUCGGACUGGGGUCUGCAACCCGACC